rfam:Triticum aestivum genome assembly, contig: Triticum_aestivum_CS42_TGACv1_scaffold_581355_7BL
AUAAUACUCCCUCCAUCCAGAAUUACUUGUCAUCAAAAUGGAUGUGUCUAGAACUAAAAUACAUCUAGAUACAUCCAUUUCAAUGACAAGUAUUUUCGAUGGAGGGAGUAGUAG